rnacentral:rRNA from 1 species
ACAUGCAAGUCGAACGCGAAAGUUUUCUUCGGAAGACGAGUAGAGUGGCGCACGGGUGAGUAACGCGUAAGUAAUCUGCCCUGGUAUCUGGGAUAACCCACCGAAAGGUGUGCUAAUACCGGAUACGCUGAUUUAUCAGGAAAGGUGGCCUCUUCAUGAAAGCUACCGUACCAGGAGGAGCUUGCGUACCAUUAGCUAGUUGGUAGGGUAAUGGCCUACCAAGGCAACGAUGGUUAGCGGGUCUGAGAGGAUGAUCCCCCACACUGGAACUGAGACACGGUCCAGACUCCUACGGGAGGCAGCAGUGAGGAAUCUUGCGCAAUGGAGGAAACUCUGACGCAGCCACGCCGCGUGCCGGAAGACGGCCCUUGGGUUGUAAACGGCUUUUGAUUGGGAAGAACUGUUCCGUUUCGACGGGACUUGACGGUACCAUUUGAAGAAGCACCGGCUAACUUCCUGCCAGCAGCCGCGGUAAUACGGAGGGUGCAAGCGUUGUCCCGAAUCAUUGGGUGUAAAGGUGCGUAGCUGGCAUCUAAUCUCGGUGUGAAAUCUGCCGGCUUAACGGUAAAAUUGCCCUGGAUACUGGAUGUCUUGAAUCUGACA